UACGUGGGGGGCAAGCGUUGUCCGGAUUUAUUGGGCGUAAAGAGCGUGUAGGCGGCCUGACAGGUCUGCUGUGAAAACUCGAGGCUCAACCUCGAGAUGUCGGCGGAAACCGUCUGGCUAGAGUCCGGAAGAGGAGAGUGGAAUUCCUGGUGUAGCGGUGAAAUGCGUAGAUAUCAGGAGGAACACCGGCGGCGAAGGCGGCUUCCUGGACCGAUACUGACGCUGAGACGCGAAAGCGUGGGGAGCAAACAGG
rnacentral:rRNA from 1 species